GCUUCUUCUGCAUGGCCAGCAGCUCUUCCUCAUGCUGAGGGAGAAGAGAGGGACAGAAAGAGGGAGAAGAACAUUAUAUGCAGACAGUGGAUGAGGAGAAGAGACAGUCAGAGGACAGGAAGUACUGGAGAUCACCAACUGUGGAUUGCUGUCUCUAGGGAGACCUGGCCCCUCACUCCCGUUAUAGUUGUAGCUGUAAUUCCUAAAGAGUGCUCAGGACCGUUACAGCAUAAAUACAGAAUAAAUACAGUGUCAGUGCCGGACCUUGCAAUUAUUAAGUGACAUGGAACAAAUGUAGCAUUUCUUCUGUGUACACAUAAGGUCAGUAUGUAGAUGAGAGGUAGGCGACCCUGGUCCUCAAGUGCCAGAGAUGGUCCUGGUUCCUGCUCCAUCUAAACAUGUAACUAUACAACUGGACUCCUUUGAAUGAGUUGAAGUUAAUCAGGUUUAAUGAAUGCAGGAGACCAAUGUGCUGGACGUACUCGGCAUUGCACCAUUCAGAAUAUUCAGGCUCAGACUUUUAAUCAUCCAUCAAACUCUGGUGAUCAAGCUCAGAUGGAACAAAUCCCAGAGAUGUCCCAGACCAGGGUUGUCUAUACCCUGGCUCAGAAUAACAUCUAAAGUUGGGAACACCUUCAUAUUGCCUUUUAAGGAGUAGCAGGAGAUUUUGUUACAUUCUGUGCUACACUAUGCUCAAGGCAUGCUUUGUCCCUGGAACUGAAAUGUUCUGCUUCAUUAAUAAACUUAAGCUUUCCUACCGUUCAAGUAAAACAAUGUUAAUAAUUUAUUUAGCUUAAUUAGCACUAUUAAUUGAAAGUUGCUGCAUCAAGUUGCAUUUAGUUUCCCAUUGAAAGGGUACAGAAUAUUCCAGUUAAGUCAAUAAAGCGACAUGAUACAUAA